CGUUAUGAAGCUAUUUUAGCAUUAACCUUUUAAGUUAAAGAACGAGAACAAUCUUCUCCAUAACGA
rnacentral:tRNA from 1 species